AGCGAAUGAUGGCGGCAGGCCUAACACAUGCAAGUCGAACGAACCUUUCGGGGUUAGUGGCGGACGGGUGAGUAACACGUGGGAACGUGCCUUUAGGUUCGGAAUAACUCAGGGAAACUUGUGCUAAUACCGAAUGUGCCCUUCGGGGGAAAGAUUUAUCGCCUUUAGAGCGGCCCGCGUCUGAUUAGCUAGUUGGUUGAGGUAAUGGCUCACCAAGGCGACGAUCAGUAGCUGGUCUGAGAGGAUGAUCAGCCACAUUGGGACUGAGACACGGCCCAAACUCCUACGGGAGGCAGCAGUGGGGAAUCUUGCGCAAUGGGCGAAAGCCUGACGCAGCCAUGCCGCGUGAAUGAUGAAGGUCUUAGGAUUGUAAAAUUCUUUCACCGGGGACGAUAAUGACGGUACCCGGAGAAGAAGCCCCGGCUAACUUCGUG
rnacentral:rRNA from 1 species